CCAGCAGCCGCGGUAAUUCCAGCUCCAAUAGCGUAUAUUAAAGUUGUUGCAGUUAAAAAGCUCGUAGUUGAACUUUGGAUUCUCCCUAGCGGUCGCUCAUUGAGUUGUACUGCGGGGGGGAAUCCCACCUUCUGGUGAACUCUCGUGCUCUUCACUGAGUGCGUUUGGGAGCCAGGACUUUUACUUUGAAAAAAUUAGAGUGUUUAAAGCAGGCUCACGCCUGAAUACAUUAGCAUGGAAUAAUAGAAUAGGACUUUGGUUUUAUUUUGUUGGUUUCCAAGACCAAAGUAAUGAUUAAUAGGGACAGUUGGGGGCAUUAGUAUUUAGUCGUCAGAGGUGAAAUUCUUGGAUUGACUAAAGACU
rnacentral:rRNA from 1 species